UACGAAGGGGGCUAGCGUUGCUCGGAAUCACUGGGCGUAAAGGGUGCGUAGGCGGGUCUUUAAGUCAGGGGUGAAAUCCUGGAGCUCAACUCCAGAACUGCCUUUGAUACUGGGAAGCUCGAGUCCGGGAGAGGUGAGUGGAACUCCGAGUGUAGAGGUGAAAUUCGUAGAUAUUCGGAAGAACACCAGUGGCGAAGGCGGCUCACUGGCCCGGUACUGACGCUGAGGUGCGAAAGCGUGGGGAGCAAACAGG
rnacentral:rRNA from 1 species